UACGGGGGGGGCAAGCGUUGUUCGGAAUUACUGGGCGUAAAGGGCUCGUAGGCGGCCAACUAAGUCCGACGUGAAAUCCCAAGGCUUAACCUUGGAACUGCGUCGGAUACUGGAUGGCUUGAAUUCGGGAGAGGGAUGCAGAAUUCCAGGUGUAGCGGUGAAAUGCGUAGAUAUCUGGAGGAACACCGGUGGCGAAGGCGGGUCUCUGGGCCGAAAUUGACGCUGAGGAGCGAAAGCGUGGGGAGCAAACAGG
rnacentral:rRNA from 1 species